rnacentral:rRNA from 1 species
GUUGUAGUCUGGAGAAGUGCUUUCCGCGCUGGACCGUGUAUAAGUCUCUUGGAAUAGAGCGUCAUAGAGGGUGAGAAUCCCGUCUUUGACACGGACUACCAGUGCUUUGUGAUGCGCUCUCAAAGAGUCGAGUUGUUUGGGAAUGCAGCUCAAAAUGGGUGGUAAACUCCAUCUAAAGCUAAAUAUUGGCGAGAGACCGAUAGCGAACAAGUACCGUGAGGGAAAGAUGAAAAGCACUUUGGAAAGAGAGUUAAACAGUACGUGAAAUUGCUGAAAGGGAAACACUUGAAGUCAGUCGCGUUGUUCAGAACUCAGCCUUGCUUCCGCUUGGUGCACUUUCUGGAUGACGGGCCAGCAUCAAUUUUGACCGUUGGAAAAGGGUUGGGGGAAUGUGGCACCUUUGGGUGUGUUAUAGCCUUCAGUCGCAUACAACGGUUGGGAUUGAGGACCGCAGCGCGCCGCAAGGCAGGGGUUCGCCCACUUUCGCGCUUAGGAUGCUGGCAUAAUGGCUUUAAAUGACCCGUCUUGAAACACGGACCAAGGAGUCUAACAUGCCUGCGAGUGUUUGGGUGGAAAACCCGAGCGCGUAAUGAAAGUGAAAGUUGAGACCUCUGUCGUGGAGGGCAUCGACGCCCGGACCUGACGUUCUCUGACGGUUCCGCGGUAGAGCAUGUAUGUUGGGACCCGAAAGAUGGUGAACUAUGCCUGAAUAGGGUGAAGCCAGAGGAAACUCUGGUG